AUGACAGCAAAGAAACUCACAAAAAGAUGCUGAGCAGGCAUUUAAAAAGAAUGGAAGGCAAAAUUUCUCUGAAUGAAAGAAACACCCUCGAAGUGUUUAUAUAUACUACAUAUGAUAAUGUCCUAUAUUGUACUAUGUGAGACCAACUGAUGGAAAUGAAACAUUUUCAACUGUUAAAAAAUGCUGCUAAAAUUGAUGAAAAGCUGCAAAAGAGAGACGAAAGAUGCCAGAGGGACAGUCAAACUCAUAAAUCAAAAAUAAACUGGCUAAAAACGAACGAAGACAAACAGACAAACAAUAGAACACAUGACACAGCAAAGAAAACUAAAGAAUAAGCAACACGAACCCAACCAAAAAUUAGGUGUGAUCUCAGGUGCUCCGGAAGGGUAAGUAGAUCCUGCAACCUGAUCUUACAUACUGUGAAGAAGUAAAUCAAAUGGGGAUCUAUUUAACAUCACUUGAAUAUAU
rnacentral:lncRNA from 1 species